GGGUGGUGGUGGUGACUUGUAAACUGGAGUUGGUGGUGAUGGUGAUUUGUAGACUGAGUGUGUAGAGAGUAGUAUGACUCCUUAGGUGGUGGUGGUGAAUUGUAAAUGGGAGUUGGUGGUGGCAGAGACUUAUAAACUGGUGCGGGAUUGAUAUAGCUCCUUGGGUGUGGAGGCGAUAUGUAGACUAGGGUUGGUGGAGGUGGUGACUUGUUGACUGGGUGUGUGGAGGGUAGUAAGGCUCCUUAGUAGUGGUGGCGACUUGUAAACUGUAGUCGGUAGAGGCGGUGACUUGUAGAUUGGGGUAUGAGGAGGGUAGUAUGGCUCCUUAAGUGGUUGUGGUGACUUGUAAACUGGAGUCGGCGAAGGUGGCGACUUAUAGACUGGGUGUUUGGAGGGUAGUAAGGCUCUUUGGGUGGGGGUGGCAACGUAUAAACUUGAGUUAGUGGAAGUGGUGAUUUGUAGACUGGGUGUGUGGGGGAUAGUAUGGCUCCUUAGGUAGUAGUGGUGAUUGGUAAAUAGGAGCCGGUGGAAAUGGCGACUUAUAGACUGGGUGUGUGGAGGGUAGUAAGGCUCUUUUGGUGGGGGUGACGACUUGUAAACUGGAGUUGAUGGAGGUGGCAAUUUGUAGACUGGGGUGUGUGGAGGAUAGUAUGGCUCCUUGGGUGGUGAUGGUGGUGACUAGUAAAGCGGAGUUGAAGGUGAUGGUGAUUUAUAAAGUGGUGCAGGAUGAUAAGGUGUUGGUGAAGGAUGGUAUGGCUCUUUUGGUGAUGGUGGAGAUAAAUAUUGAUAAUUUGCUGAGCUUUGGGAAGCCAAGCAAAGUGACACAAAAACCACUAAAAGAGUGGAAAAUAGAGAGGCCAUUUCUCCCAAAAAGAAACAAAGGAGAGAAGUUGUUGUCCCUUUAAGCUGCACUCAAAGCCCUUUGUAUAGCUUUCAUUUAGAAGGUAUAAGGCUAAAGUUAUGUAUUUUUAAUUAGUUUUGUCAUGUUGUCGGUUCAAUUUGACCUUUGUUGGUAUACUUUUUUUUUUUUGUUGGAUAGAAGGUGCAAGCUAAGCAAAGAAAUUAACUACUAUGGCAGCUAUACUAUUUAUGAUGCAAUAAUUCAAAAAAAAAUACGUGGAUCCCACAACUUCCCACAAGAUUUUAGUUAUAGGAAUCUGAGCACUUUUUUUUUACACUUAGGGUGUGUAUGGUACGAUGGAAAAUAUUUUCUGAAAAAUGUUGGUUGUAGUAAAAAAUAUUUUCUAAGAUAAUUCAUUUUUUCCUAUUUGAGGGAAAAUGACUUCCCUCAUGGACCAAGGGAAGUUAUUUUUCGGAAAAUGAUAAAUGUGACUUAUGCCCCCAUCCUCACCCCUCUUCCCACCCCAACAACACUCAUAUUCACAUAACUCAAAAAAUUCACAUUUUUAAAAAAUUUAUUUUACUCAAAAUAUUUUUCACUGUGCUUUGCUUCAAUUUUUCACUGCUUGAAAUAAAAAAUAGUGAAGCCCGACUUUUUUUCAUUUCCAAUGUUCGUUGAAUGUAUUGUUAUUUUCAUAUGCAUAGAGGAAGACUUACCUAUGUUACUUUUGCUAAUUGCAUAUUUUAUUUUGUCAUCGAUGUUACUUCUUUCACGAGGUUGAAUAAGCUUAUCGUCCCGUUAUAUUUCUAUUGAUUGUAGUAUCUUGAGAUUGUCCUGAAAAAAUGUUGAAAAGUGUCUCCUAUAUUUGCUAAUUAAUAGUUGCUUAAAUUUAGUGAUUGUAAUAUUUUAGUAUUCGAUAUUGAUAUUAUUUAUUAUGCUUAAAUUAGUUCUUACAAAUUGUUGAGUUGCUAGAUGCACUGAUAUACUAGUUAACAGUUAGUAGUAUUUUCUAAAAAAAAAAAUUUCACUCACCAAUCAAACACUAGAAAAUAUUUUUCUAAAAAAUAUUUUCUACUCACCAACCAAACACCAUAAAAUAUUUUUCGAAAAUAUUUUUCACUCACCAACCAAACAUGAGAAAAUAAAUAGAAAACCAACUUAUUUUCCAAGAAAACAUUUUUCAUGAAAAAUAUUUUCCAUCGUACCAAACACACCCUUAGUAUUUGAAGAAUUCAAUUCUUGUGGAUUCUGACAGCUUAACUAACCUUCACUUAAGUGCUGAGAAAUUUAAAACAAUAUGUAUACAGUAUCAUAUAUUCUUUAAAAGAAAUGAUAUGUCAUUGUUAAAAGAGUUUAAUCUAGAGAAAACUGUGCAUGUGACUCGCUUUCAUUACCAACUAAAUCAAUUAUGUUCUUUCCUUUUGUGUAGUAGAGCUAAAAGAAACAUCAACCGAUUAUUUUGUAGCUCAAUGUUGAAAACUUAUGUGGUUCAAUAUGAUAUCUCUGAAAAUUUUACAGCUUGUUUGAUAGCUGCUGCCUAAUAAUGUAUUGUAUCGUGUUGCUAGUUUAAAUAUAAUGUGUAUUUUGAUUGUUUCUUAAAUUUUACUGUAUCAUUAAAUCUAUAACUAGAUAGCAAUAAAAAGUCUCAUUUGGUGUAACGACCUAUUUGAUGUGAUCGCGUUGUUACCUUUUUUCCCCUUUUUAUUUAUUAUUUAAUUAUCUUAAUGCUCCUUUAUCCUAUAUUUUUAUAGUAACUCUACCUCACAUUUUUCUAUUUUCCUUCUAGGCUUAUCCUUGAACUGUUAUAUGAAGGAUGCAAUGUAAUGACGAAAAAGGUAUAAUAAAUCCAAAUAUCGUAACAUUCACUAAAAUAAUAAAGUACAUACAAUACAACAUGAUACUUUAUGAAACAAUAUCAUUCCAAGUUAAGGACUUGAUUAGAAUGUGCAUGUUAAGUGUCUGAUGGGUUACUUAAGUAUAAAGUUCAAGUCCAUAUAAAAAGAUAAACCCUAAUUAUAAUGCCUUCAUCAUGGCUGGUCGACAGUAGUCUACUACUGAAUUUCCUCCUUUGAACCCAAAUUCUAUUGUGAAUAUCCAAACCCUACCGUUGGAUAAAUCUUUUGUUGAAUCAAUCAGUACAACAAAGUUGGACACCGUCUCUCGCAAAGAGGUGGUCAUGGUGGAAGGAAUCCCGAAUGUCACACUGAAAAAAGUGGAUACAGUGAAUAAAAUGGAGAAUUUGCAAUUUGUUGUCAUAGGUAAAUUCACUUAAGAAUGGACGGGUAUAGAAGAAUUAAGGAAUAUUAUCCCACAGCAAUGCAACAUUAAUGGUGAUUGUCAAAUUGGAGUAUUCAGAAAUAAACAUAUUUUCAUUCGUUAGACACAGGAGUCGGAUUUUAUUAAUAUCAUCAUCUCAAAGGGAGCUUUUUCCUUGCACUGUAAGGAUGGGUUCUCUUAUUUGAUGCGAACACUCUCACACUUAUCUAUGAUCCCCUUUUCAAAGAAACUUUAGAGACUACAAAGACUUUCGCAUGGAUUUCUUUCCCAAAUCUAUUGCCUACCUAUUAUGUCAAGGAAUGUUUGUUUUCUUUAGCUGCAACAGUGGGAAAGCCUGUCCAACUUGAUCUAGCCACCAUUAAUAGGACUAGACCAAGUUGUGCAAGGAUUAAGGUCUUGGUUGAUCUAAAAGCUGAUUUCUCUAAAUCAGUCCGGAUGGAUAUUGAAAAUGAAGAGUCAGGUAAAUGCAGGACAAUAGUGAAGCGGAUUAAAUUCGACCAUAUUCCUAAGUAUUGUCAUGAAUGCAAUAUGCAAGUUCAUGCUAAGAAUCAAUGUAGAAACUUAGGCACCCCAGAGGAUGCAACAAUGGCAGUAACAGUGGAUAAUAAGGAAUAAAAGAGGCCAGUACAACAUCUUCCUAAAUUCACAAUGCCUUUUGUACACAAAUUUCAAAACGGAAAAGCAUGAGUUCUUUCGAGUGGGAUUGUAGUUGGAGAUCCUACUAACUGGAUGGUUAUUAAAAAUGAUAAGAGGAUAGUUAAUACUUCCCAACAGCCUCUUUUAAUGAUAUAGUUAAUACUUCCCAACAGCCUCUUUCAAUGACAAAUAACCAAUUUGCUGCUCUAGCUACCGACGACAAAGAACCUGCUGAAUUAAACAUUUCGACAAAGGAGAGUUCAAACCUUAAGGCAUGUACGGAUGUGUUCCAAAUAAUAAGGAAAAUGAAAAAGUUAAUCUGUGGUCCAAUAAAGAAUCUGCUAAAGAGUGGGUAUCAAGGGAUUUUGGCAAGCUAGGUGAAGUUCCCAAUUCUGUAAUACCUGUACAGCAACAAGGCAGUCAGCAACUAAGUAAUCAACAACAAAGGCAAGAUAGAGAUAAUAAUGCUAAAGAGAAUAAUAAAGAUGGUAAUGGGAUGGAGAAUGAUAUGCAGGUUAAAUCUUUAAUAAAUCAGGAGCAUAAUAUUGAUGAUGGUCAGCAACAAUGCCUCAUAGUCAAAAAGGACAAUCUGCAAUCUAUAGAAGAUGUGCAACCAGAUACCAAGCAAUAGUCAAUGCAGAUUAAUCAAGAUUUUUACAGUGGAAGCUAUGAUAAUGGAGAUAGGUCAGUUGAGGAAAGUGUGGGGAUAACAGUUGUGAUGCAAGGGGAACAAAAUGUGUGUUUAGAAAUAAUGGAGAUUCCAAAACCAGUGCAGAUAGAUGAAUCAUUUAUCGUUACCAAGAGUUCUCCCAACAAAGUAAUACAUGACAUUGUCUCUCAUAGUUUAGGGUACAUUAAAUGCAGUAAUCAAACUCACAUGGCCAAAGGAGUUAAAGAAGUAGAUGUAGAAGAUGAUUCGAAGGAUCAUGCUCCAUCGGAAGCUGAUUUAUCACCAAGACUGAUGAAAAUCUCUAAAAAAGGAUAAAAAAGAAUGUGGAUGGGAGAAAACUCACAACCUACCAGAGUUCAUCCUAAGCGAUCCAAAUCUGCCCUAAAUUAUCAAUGAAAGCACUUAUUUGGAACAUUAGGUCUGUGAAGACACAACAAGAUUUCAAAGACUUCAGAUGCUUAAUAAUUAUCAUAAGUUCACCGGUUUCAGUUUGUUAGAGCCUUUUCAGAAUGUUAGAUAUAAGAGAAGAUUGAAAAUGCAUAGGGCUAUGUCAAACUGCAAUAGCAAGAUUUGGUUUUUCUCCUCUCAAGAUGUGAUAACAACUGUUAUUAAAGACACUGAUCAUCAGCUACAGUUCACUUGCAGGAGUAGGCUCAGAGCUUAGAUUUAUUACUCUUGUUUAUGCAAAGUGUUCUAAAGAGGAGAGAUUAAUCUUAUGGAAGGAUAUUUAUCAAGUUGCUUCUGGAAUUUCAAAACCUUGGAUGCUAGGAGGAGAUUUAAUGUUGUUUUGAAUUCUGAAGAGAAAAUUGGUGGCCUUCCAAUUCUUGAUGCAGGCCAUGGGGACUUUCAAUCAUGUAUUUCUUAUUGUGAUUUGAUGGAGAUACCUUUUAAAGAAAGUUCUUUCACUUGGUGGAAUGGUAGAGCAGGUAAUGACUGUAUUUUAGAAAGAUUGGAUAGAAUUUUUACUAAUCAACAACAACAACAACAACAACAACAACAACAACAAACCCAGUGUAUUCCCACCUAGUGGGGUCUGGGGGGGUAAGAUGUACGCAGUCCAUACCUCUACCUCUGCUGAAUUUUUACUAAUCAAGAUUUACAAAAUAAGUUCAAUCACAUGAAGGUAGAACAUCUUGCUACUAGUUCAGAUCAUGCUCCCAUGUUGUUGUAUUGUUAUGACAGAGCUAUCAGUUACAAGAAAUCUUUUAGAUUUCUUAAGUUUUGGACUGAUCAUCCUAAGUUCCUAGAAGUAGUAAGGCAGAAUUGGUGUUCUUCAGGUUCUCAGAGUCCAUUCUUAGAUUUCAAAGCAAAGAUUAAGAGAAUUAAAGUUGCUUUGACAAGAUGGAGUAAAGAGACUUCUGGGGAUAUUUUUAAAUAGUUGAUAAUCAGGGAAGAAAUUGUCAAGAUCAAAGAGAAAUUAUUUGAGGAAUGCCCUACGGCUGAUAACAGCGAAGUGUUGCAAAGAGCUCAGUCCGAGCACAAAAUAUAUCUUCGUUUUGAAGAGAUUUUUUGGCAGCAAAAAGCAGGUUAUGACUGGUUUGAGAAUGGUGACAGAAAUAUUAAAUUUUUUCAUAGCACUGUGAAGGGGAGGAGGAAAAGAUUGAAUUUGAAUAGAAUUCAAAUUAAUCAGGGUAUUUGGCUGGAUAAAGAAGAAAAGAUAGCCGCAGAGGUUGUUAUGUUUUAUCAGGACCAAUUUAGACAAGAACAAGAGGCUAAUGUUUUUUCAUAACUGAAUAAUAUACCUAAGAGUAUUUCUGAUGAGCAAAAUAUUGUUUUAAGUCAGUAAGCUGAUCUUGAAGAAGUUAAAAAGGCACUUUUUAGCUUAAAUGAAUAUAGUGCAAGUGGCCCGGAUGGGUUAACAAGUAGGUUCUAUCAGGUUCGCUGGGAUAUUAUUGGUAAUGAUGUUCUUAAUCUGGUGCAAGAUUUCUUAAAAGGUAAUACUCUUCCCAAAUUCAUUAUUCAUACUAAUUUGGUGUUGCUUCCCAAGAAGGAUUUUAUUCAAUUUUUCUCAGAUUUGAGACCAAUUAGUCUUAAGUAAUUUUAUUAAUAAGAUCAUUUCUAGGAUUGUGCAUGACAAAAGUGAACUUCUUUUGCCUAGACUGAUUUCUUUUAAUCAAUCUAAAUUUGUCAAAGAGAGAAGAAUUAUUAAAAAUUUCCUCCUGACUCAAGAGAUAGUUACUGACAUCAGAAAAAUGGGUAAGCCGGCUAAUGUGGUCUUAAAGCUUGAUAUGACUAAGGCUUAUGAUAGGGUUUCCUGGUUUUUCCUGAUGAAGGUUCUAAGAAAAAUAGGGUUCUCAAAAUUGUUUAUGGACUUGUUUUGGAGAUUAUUGUCUAAUAAUUGGUAUUCUAUACUAAUUAAUGGGCGAUCACACGGCUUUUUUCACUCAACUAGGGGAGUAAAACAAAGAAAUCCUUUAUCUCCAGCUUUCUAUUUGAUGAUGCUCAAUAUGUAGGUUAUGAUAUGCCAAAGUGGAGUUCCAAUAUUAAUCAUCUUGCUUAUGCAGAUGACACUAUUAUAUUCGCUGCAGCUAACAGAUACUCUUUGAGAAAGAUUUUUUCAGUGUUACGGGAAUAUGAAACUCAAUCAGGGCAAAAAGUUAAUAAAGAGAAGAAUGCUUUCUACAUGCAUCAGAAUUCAGCUGCAGUUGAUAAACAAAUGGUGGAAGAUUGUGCGGCUAUUUCUAAAGGCCAAUUUCCUUUGAAAUACCUUGAAUGUCCUAUCACUCAUGCUAGAAAAAGAAAGAGUCAUUAUUCAGAGCUAAUUCAGAAGGUUAAGUCAAAAUUACAGGCUUGAAAAGGUAAUAUUCUCUCAUAUGGGGGGAAAGGAGGUCCUUAUCUCUAGUGUUCUUCAAAGUGUUCCUAUACAUAUCCUUUCUGUUGUUGUCCCUCCUAUUUGUGUAUUGAAGGAGCUUCACAGAAUAUUUGCAAAUUUUUUUGGAGUAAUAAGGCCGAUGGAAGAAACAAACACUGGGCUGCUUGGGUAAAGGUGUUUUUACCAAAACAGAAGGCAGUUUGAGUUUUAGAUCGAUGUUUGAGGUAUCUCAAGCCAUGUAUCCUAAGUUCUGGUGGAAGUUCAGAACUCAAAAUACUACUUGGUCCAACUUUAUAUGAGACAAGUAUUGCAAAAAGCAAAUACCUUCACUAGUUUAAUGGAAAGGUGGCUCGCAAGUAAGGAAGCAUAUGUUGCAAAAUAGGGAUCUAGUGGAGCAAUUCUUGUGGUGGAACCUAAAGGAGGUACUUCUACAGUUUGGUAUGAUAAUUGGACUCAACUUGGUCCUCUUUUCAAACACCAGGUAGAGGUCAUUCUUCUUUUCCAGUGAUGGAUAUUGAGGAAUUCAUGUUGGGCUCAGACUGGGAUUUUGAGAAUAUGCAAUAUCAUUUAUCAGAUAAUGUAGUAGAGCAUGUAAGAUUACAUUUGAGGCUUGUACGACAUCCUGGAGAAGGUGACAAGCCCUGGUGGAUUAAAUUUAGUUCUGGCAAGUUCUCGGUUAAAAGUGCUUGGGAAGAACGGAGGAAAAAAACGUUUGUAAUGAGUCAUUUCAGAAGAUCUGGGUAAAAGAGAUUCCUUUCAAAAUUUCUUACUUUGGUUGGAGAGUUUGGACAAAUAGGAUUCCUGUAGCCUCUGUUUUAGCUAAUUGGAAUCCUAACUUGUCUCCUCUUUAUUCAUAUUGUGUUUCAAGAAAUCAUGGAGCACCUCUUUCUAAAAGGUGAAGUGGUUUAUUUCGGUUUGGAUUUAUUACGCCAAUGCUGCAGGUAUUCUGGGGCCCUGGGUUCAAAUUAAACUAUCCAUAAAGAAGUGGUGGGAUAUAAAUGGUAAUUAAAGACAAAGAUUCAUCUUUCAGGUAGUUCCUACUCUCAUUUUGUGGUUUUUACGGAAAAGAAGGAAUGCAUUAGUUCAUGGAGGUUCAUACUCUACAGCCAAGGUUAUUUGGGAUAUUAAUGGUUUAAUUAAGAAAAUUCUCAGAAAGAAGUUUGGUUAUGAUCAGUUACCAUCUAGUUGGCCUCAAAUAGUUGCUUUUUGACUUAUUUAGACCUACAUUUUUAUCUAGAUGGAUAAGAUGGUAUCCCCCACCUAGGGGAUAGUGGAAAUAUAACACUGAUGGAACCUCGAGAGGUAAUCUAGGUCGAAUUUCAGCUGAUUUUUGUGUACGAAAUCAUGUAGGUGAUCUUGUGUAUGCUAAGGGUUUCUCUAUUCCAGAUUCCACUAAUCUGGUUGUUAAAGUCAUUGCUAUAGGAGUUGGUUUACAUUAUUGCUUAGAAAAUCAAAUUGUCAACAUUAUUGUGGAAUCUGAUUCCCUUGUAGUAGUCAACAUGAUUAAUGGAGUGUGGGAAAUUCCUUAGAGUGUGAUAAUGGAGGUCAACUCCAUUAAAGAUAUGAUGGAUUCUUGUUCAGCAAGAGUACAACACUCCUUAGGAAAGGGAAAUACUCUUGCUGAUUAUUUAGCUAACUUGGUUUUUCAUUUUGCAGGUAACUUUGAAUUCAACAGUUUUCAUGAAAUUCCAAGCGCAGGUAGGAAGAUUAUCAAUCUAGACAAACAAGGCAUUCCACAAAUGAGGAUAAGACAGUGUACAUCAACUAAUUCAACAAGGGAUGGAUCGCUACUGCAGAUUACAAAGUGAAUUUACAAACUCUAUUAGCAGUGACUAGUUACUGGUGAAUUUAGUGCAGUCUGAAUUAGUUUCGUUUGGUUAACAUACCAUGCACCUGUGGGAAUUUUUAGGUGUUACAUAGAGUAUAAACCCAGGACUCACUUAUACUAGUUGCUAAUUUCUAGGUAUAGAGUUUAUAAAAAUCAAGCACAAAUUUAGAGGCAUUUCAUAGUCUCAAAUCUGUUGAUGAGGAGAGGAUGGAGUACCCGGGACCUCAAAUUUAGCGGCGGAAGAUAGACAGGGUAUAAUUAUCAAGCAAUACAAUUCUUUUAUACAGAUUCCACUUCAGAGAAGAACAAAAAUAAUCAUUGCCAACUUAUGGAUUGCAAAGUGUCAAAAUACAAAUUUCAGCAUUUGGAGUAACACAAGAAGGCAAGGAGCAAGAUAAGUAUUAAUGGACAGUAGUGGUGAUUAACAUUCACUAAUACUGAUUGAUUUCUAAGUCAUACAAUUGAAAUGGGGGUUAAGGUGAACCUGUUAGUUCUGGAUCCUUGGUGGUGGUAUCAAUCUCCUUGAGGUUUAUUCCGCUAGGAAAAAGAGAGAACAGUGAAAUCAUUUUUUUCAUUUCACAGAUGAGUUUAGAAUAGAAAAAGGGAGGUGACUUACCAUAUCAUCUGCAAUAAAUAUUUAUUGAUUUGGAGCUGUAGAAAUUUAGUUGAAACCAAUUUCAUGAAGUUUGUAAGAGAUUAAAGUGUCUUAGUGAAAUUUGAUGGAUGUUCCAUGGCAAUAAUGGCUUCCACAACUUAAUGCAACAACCAGAUGAGGUUGGAGUAGCAAAGAUUGAAACCAUAGUUGCCUCUCCGUGAUGUCUUUCAGCUUUGAGUUUUAUCCACACAUUCCUUUUCCUGCUUACAUUUUCUGUUUUUGGUCUUUUCAGAUGUCUGGAUAUAUUUGUUGCUUUUGUUUUGGACCCGGGUCUUGCUUAACUUGGGCCAAUUUGUACAUAUCUUUUCUGCUCCUGAAUAAAUUGGGCUCUGGUCCAUCUUCAAUUAAAAAAAAGGAAAAAUGACAUGGACUGACCAGUUUAAAAAAAGGAAAUUUUGCAUAUAUACCGACAUGUUUACUCUUAAUUACCAAAAAUUUCAACAUUUUUCAAAAUCUCCAAAAAUUCCAACAUUUGACCUCUGAUAAUACAAGUUAAUCACAUUAGAUACAUACUGUUGAUAUAUGUAUCUAAUGUGAUUAACUUGUAUCAUACAUUAGAUAUAUGUAGGGUUACAUUAGAUACAUGUAGGGUUACAUUAAAUACAUGUAGGGUUAACUUGUAUCUCAAAAAUAGUCCCAAAUAUGAAAUGUUGGAAUUUAUGUAAUUUUUCAGAAGUAGGGGGAUUUUUAGAAAUUUUGAAAGUUAUGAUGUUUAUUUAUGUAAUUUUUUGUUAAAAAGAAAAAAAAUAGCCCACACUAUGAAAAUAUGGACAAUUGGAGCCAGUAGACCCAAUUUAUUUCCUGUUUUUUCAGUCAUUUGGCCCAAAACUAUUCUCCUUACACAAUUAAGGGGAUUAAAUACUCUUCACAGUAGGCUACUCUUAAAUCACUUUUCUUUUCAAACUAUACUUUCCCAAAAAAAUGUUCACCUCUAUUAUGUGUCGAUCAAUCUACUGUGUUUUGUGAUAACAAUUGAGUUAGUAGGGCACAUGCAGUCUCUAUACCCAAUUGAUACACUUUUGUACCAUAUUGAUACAUGUUUAUACCCAAUUGAUACUCUUUAUACUACAUUGAUACACUUUUAUACUCAAUUGAUACUCUUUUAUACUAGAUUGAUACACUUUUAUACCACGUCGAUACAGUAUGUAUAUUACAUAAAUACAUCUUUUACAGAGGAAAUUUGUGCAAGCAUAUACAGUAACAAUACCAAAUUAAUACAGUAAAUCAAAAUUAGUAAGUACGAACAUAAUUGAUACUCUUUAAAAUUAUAGUAUUAAUAGUACAUAAAGUAACAAAAAAAAAGAUCAAAUCAUCUUUCCAUCAAUUAUUGUUUUGAUUUAGUUCAUUCUUUCUCCUUAACGCUCUUUUAUAUUUCUAACUUCCUCUUCCUACCUUUAUUUUCUCUUCUUUUUUUCUUUCCUUCAUUACUAAGUUAGUUGUAAACACCCAUAUGAUGAAGUAUGUAUUUACUCUUGAGUUGAUGUCAUAUUUAUCCUACUAAGAAAAAUCACAGGUUCUGUAAGGAAUUGUCUAGACAUGGAGUACAUAUAAAAAUUUAUUCUGCCACUUGAAAAAAACCUGUAAAAAACUAAUUAAAUUCAGAUUUUUUGAGAUUUUAUACAAAAUUUAUGAAAUGAGAAAGGUAAAUUGGAGUAUCGAAAAAAGGUAAAGGAACAAAUAUUUAGGAGUUUGAAUGGAAAGGAAACUGGGAAUGAAAAGAAAAGAAAGAAAGGGAAAGUUACUUCAAGGAUGUUUUUGAUUUUGUUUAAGCGUAUGACAGUGAAGGUUAGUUAGUGGAAUUACUCUGUGUCUAUUUAUGAUGUAUUUAAUUUUGACUGCUAUUUUUUUAUAUUAUUUUAGUUUUAGGUGUUAUUUCUGUCAUUUGCCCAAAAAAAAAAACUUACUAUUUUACUACAAUUCUUGUUGGUAAGAAUACAUUAUUUCUUUUUUUUUUUUAGGGCAAACAACAUAAAUUUCGAGAAUUUGGAGCUUAAUUACAGAAAAUUCUGAUAUUUUGCAUAAUUGUUGAAAAUCUCAAUUUUGGAUCUGUUGAGAUACAUUAUUAGCUUCUGAUACAAUCAAAAAGAUACAUUUUUAACUUUGUAUAGAUAUAUAAUUAGCUUCCGCUACAUAUUUUUUAAAUUUUGCGUUUGUUGAGAUAUAUAAUACAUCCAAUGAAGAUAUAUUUUUUUCUUUGUAAAGAUAUAUAAUUAGCUCCCAGUGCAGUUUUUUUAUUUUUGGGUCUGUCGAGAUACAUAAUAAGCUUUCGAUACAUCCAACGAAGAUAUAUAAUUAAUUGAGCUUUUUGUAGUUAUUUUGUAAGAGUGAAAAUUUUGUAUAAAUAUAAUAAGUUAAGAUGUAUAUUUAUACUAUUUUUCCAUAAUUUGCUUGCGAACCAAAUCGACCACUAAAGAAUUGAAAAGUUAAACAAUUUGUUCCCAAUACAGAACAAACUUUAGCCUAAAAUUUAAUGCUAAAAAUUACUACAAUGAGCUGAGUGGCUGAAAUGGUGCCACUUAAGAAUAAUUUGGUGGAUGAAAUGAAUGAAUUGUUUUGGAGUACAAAUUUUGAUUUAGACAAUCUAUUGAAAUUUAUUAUAGUACUGUUUAUAUUUAGGGGCCAUUUUUCAGGAUCUAUGAAAAAUUUAUAAUGUUGAGUAGAACAUACUAUAAAAGUAAUGUUGGAUAGAGCAUAUCACACAUUAGCACAAUCCUAAUCAAUAAUGAUAGCUAUUCAUCUCUAGUUCACUUUUAUAGUUAAUCAAAGAAUUAUUAACAACGAAAAUUAAUUUUCUUGUUUUGGUUUUCUAUCAUUGAAUCAGCAAUAGUUUGAUAUAAGAACUAUUCAGAACAGACUAAAUUAAAGAGAAAGAUGGAAUACCGUCAAUGAAAAUAAUAGGAUAUGAUAUCUUCAAAGAUAAAGAAGGCAGUGAACUUUUUACACAUAUAAUACGUAUAAUUAUUAAAGAAUAUAAAAGAAAUUAAAAAAAGGACAUACAGUACAUAUAUAAACUGGAAAAGAAGAUCAAUAAUGUAAAAGUUUGAUGUUAACACUGUUCCUUAAUUAAAAUUUCCAUAAUGAUUAUACUCGCUAUUUUCUUUCAUUUGCACAAAUCAAUAUGCUCCUUUCCCCCCUUUUUUUCUCCUGAUCACUCCUUAAAGAACGAGACAUAUAGCAUACAUAGAGAAGAGAGUACUUUGUCUCCCUCAAUAAAUACCUUGAGAAAAAAAUGUAACUCAUUAGUAGUUUCUUGAUUUUGUAAAAUUUUCUUUAUUUAAAAAAGAGUAACAUUGGAAGAAGGUCAUUAGUAUCUUUUUUAUUAUCUAAAACAACAUUUAUUAUCUUUUUUAUUAUCUAAAACAACAUUUAUUAGGAGCAAAAUAAAAAAGCUAAACAACCACUUAUUAGAAACAGAGGGAGUACUAAUUAUCUGAUAGUGUUUUCAGUGUUACGCAUCAUGAACUAAAAGCUUAAUUUAAGAAGCAUUGACUGCUUAAUGAAAUCUUUUAAUUCACAAUGAUAAUAAGGAAAUCCAAUUUGUGUUGUAUCAUUCUAGCCUUUCCAUUUUUUAUGGAGACAAAGCAUUAAUAGACAAAUGGAGAUUGGACAUAUCAAGAUUUCAGUCUCAUCCUGUCAAAUCAUUAAUUGUAAAACCUUCAUGUAUUUCUAUGUUCAGCCUAAGAUAUUAAGGGGUUAAUAUUCUUUCAAAACAUGGAGAGUUUCUGAUAUUGGGAGACAUGGUUGUUUGUCGAAUAUAUUUAUUUCUCAAUAAUUGAAAUAUAUAAUUGUAUUUGAUGUGAAGAAAGUAUUAGUUAAAAUGCAGUUUGGUUCAUUUUGGCUAGGGAUUCCAUCCUUUCCAUGUAUAAAAGUUUUUGAAUGUAAGGAUGAGAAAUCAAGGUAUCUGCUACACUUUUUUUAUAUAUACGUGUAGCGCAUGUAUCGAGAAAUUAGUAAAAGAAAAAAAAAAUUCCUCAGCUAAUUCUCAAUCAACACCAACUCCAUCUUAGGAAAGUGUGGUUGGUUCUGUUCUUCCUCGAAUUCAAUGAAUUUUUGUCAUAUUGUCAUACAUAUAACGAAUAAUAUAUAUAUNNNNNNNNNNNNNNNNNNNNNNNNNNNNNNNNNNNNNNNNNNNNNNNNNNNNNNNNNNNNNNNNNNNNNNNNNNNNNNNNNNNNNNNNNNNNNNNNNNNNNNNNNNNNNNNNNNNNNNNNNNNNNNNNNNNNNNNNNNNNNNNNNNNNNNNNNNNNNNNNNNNNNNNNNNNNNNNNNNUAUGCCUCUUUUCCUCUUUAAAUUUUAAAGUAAUAAUUAAGAAGAAAAAAGAAGAAGAUACUAUUCAAUAAUUUAAUUCUGAUACCAUCAACAUGGAAGACUCCAUUUGCUUCAUCUAACAAUGGACUUUGGCAUUAUAUAAUUAACAAAACAAUUAAUUAUUAGGAUAACUUAAUCACCGACAAAGGUUUCUUACUAUUAUCCUUAUGAGAUUCCACUAGUUAAGCUAAAUAUUUUUAAUCGACGUAAGAGUUAUGAAUGUAUAAACAAGUAGAUCUUAGCUACAUUGACCUAGUCAAUCAUUAUUAUUACCGACAUAUUUAUGCUAUACAAAUAUUUGUCCUAAUGCUAUCUUUUAUUUAUUUUUUUAAUGGAAAAGGGUCAAAAAGAUUCCUGAAUUAUUCGAAGUGGAGCAAAAAUAUCCCUCAUUAGUUUUUUGUCUCAAAAGUAUCCCUCUCUAAUGAAAUAACACCAAGCAUGUCAUGUAGACAAAAUACGUCACUUGAACAGUUCACGUCAGAUCGACCAUCUUUAUUAAAGGUGAAUGCUCCAUUAAAUGAGAGAUUUUCCAUGUGGAUAUUGGCGCCUAGCGUGGACUGUUCAAGUGGCGCUUUUUGUCCACGGACAUACUUAGUAUCAUUCUGUUAGAGAGAUGAAUAGUUUUGAGCCAAAAAUUUAAUGGAGGAAUAGUUGUAAGCAAAAAAAUUAACGAAAGAUAUUUUUACUUUAUUUCAAAUAAUUUAGGAAUAUUUUUAAUCGUUUUUUGCUUUUUUAUGAUUUCUAAGUUGCUUAUAAUUUUUUUAUUACUACAUGAUUAACAAUAUUUUUUUAUUUCCAUAAAUAACAGAGAGUAAACUAAGUUGCACCUUAAUGGUCGAAAAGUAUUCACUAUUUUUUUUAGACUUAAAGAGGUGAUUCUGAUACAUGUCUUAUGAACAAUCAUUACAAAUUUUAUUAUUUUAAAUUUUGUUUUAGAUAAGUCUAUGAUUAAGUUGUUGGUGACCAAUUUAUUCAAUUGAGUGAGGCUGGCAUGUCCAAAGAUUUUAGGACGAAGAAACGGGUUAUUAUGUUAAUUAGGUAGAUUUAUUUUAGGGAGAAAUAAGACAUAUGCUUUAAUUUGUAAAUAUUAAUAAGUAUUUUUCCAUUUAAGCAUAGCUUCUUUUAAAUUUAAAUUAGUAAUCAAACAGUGUUUAGUAGUAUUUUCUACCUUGUUGGCUUUGUCACACAUUUGAGAGAUGCUAAAAAUGUGUAUUAAAAAAAAAAUAAGAUGGAAAGAGAAGCAUACUGGCUCAAAGGUAAAGCCGCUAAAACGUGCUUUAAGGUUCAAAAAUAGUAUUUUUAUUAUAUAAUUAGUCUCUCCUAUGUUUUACAGUUUAUAGUCUAUAUGCAAUAAAUCAAAUUCUAUUAUAUAAUUUUUUAUAUAAAAAUAAAAGUUUCUUUAAAGUUAUUAAAGGAUGUCCAUUUGUUGUAAUAAAAUACAUUGAUUUUGGUUCUCAGAAUCCUAUUGGUACAUAAUAAACUUUGGCUAUUUUAAUUCAAAGUUUUAAAAUAUCAAAUACAAUUCUAUAAUCUUUAACUAAAAAUUUAAAAAUAAGAUUAUUAAACUUCCGAUGAUAUGAUUGUAUAAGAAAAUAAUAAACAUUUUAAAAUGUUAUUGUAACUUUAUAUAAUACAUGUAACAGUAUUUUUCUAGUGAUUAUAAGAAGAAUUUUAUUGAAAAAUCAAACGUAAUUGUAACUUGCGGUAUUGAAAGUAAAAUUUGAUGGCGAGGAAAAUAUGAGUCCAUUCUUAUGUCAUUAAAAUUUAUAAACCUUUUUAUUAAGAUGACUUGAAAAUGGUAUUUAACUAUAUAUAAUUUAUAAUUUUUUAAUUAUCAUAAAUAAAAUAUUUCAUUUUCGUGAUAUUUUAGUUUGGAUUGCUUUCUAUCUAUCAUUAAUGACAAAAUACAUCGUCAGACCCCUUAAAUUGACACCAUUUUUCACUUUGGCAUCUUAAGUGGACAUUGUUCACCUUUGGCAGUUCAAAUAACCAUAAAGUGUAUCAUUUUGACAUCUUUCGACAUCAAUAAAAGUGUGUGUUACACUCACUGUCAACGUGGAUAAAACGGCCAACUGAUUUAUGCCAAUUCAUUUAAAUUGCCACAUCAUUAUUUAUAUUCACAAUUAGUUUUAAAAAAAAUAAAAUCAAAACAUAUGGCAAUUAAUGACAUAAUUAUCUAACUCAUUAAUAUAUAUACAAAAUUAAAUUAAAAGAAUCAAUUAAUUACUGACACGUGACAUUUUUCAAAAUAAUUAUAAAAUUAUUUAUUUUAUUUGGACAACCCUCCACCCACCUCCCACCCCCAAACUCCAAAGUCAUCUUCUCUACCACCAUCUAUCCCCCCGAUACCCCCCACCCUAAAUCAUCUUCUCUAUUUGGCAACACCCCUCUUCCCGUCAUGUUCUCCAUCUCCCUCCCCCCCCACCACCCCCAACCCCUGCCUGAGUCAUCUUAUCCUCUCCAUUUGCCCCUUUGAAAAGAUGAACACUCAAUCAAAGAUUAUAGUAUAUAUGUAUAUCAAAGACCUUGAUUAGUCAUAGCUUGACCUCAAAAAUUAGAAGGCAUUAAAUGACUGUUUUUUUUCUUAACAAAAAAUAAAAAAGAAAUGAUUGACCUUGAAAUAUAUUCAUCAGUAGUAUGUGUGAACCUAUUCUUUGGCAACGCAGUGGUCUUCUUACUACUUCAGUUGCAGUCAUAACAUGUUGACAAAGAUGGUGAUUGCUCAACAACAAAUCACUCGUUGUUGUUAGUGUGUUAGUGUGUUUCGUUAUUCUUGAAAAGUUCAACCUCCAUUAAUGGAAGUUAAGCUAAAGAAAGGUUGUGUGAAGAAGGCAAUGUGAGGAAAUUUUUUGUAAUUAUUUGGUCAAUAAAACAUGUGCCAUUAAUUUAUUGGAUCAAUUUUUACUGAUUUGGCAAUAGAGAUUUUCAAUAGUUUUAAAAAAAAUUUAAAGAUGAAAAAUUACAAAAAUAUCCCUAAAAAUUUAUGAAAAUACUCUUCAAACGCUCCAAAAAGUGAGCAACGUCCACUUGAAGUGCCAAAAUGAAAGAUAGCACCAAGUUGAGGACCGACAAUAUAUUCUUUCUUCAUUAAUUAGUGCAUGUACUACUCCUGUACUCCAUUGGUUUUGAUUUUUUCUUGUUCCUGCACAUUAUUUCUCCUUUUUUACUGUCUAUAUAGUACUAUUUUUUAACUUAGUAUGUUGAAAUUAAUUAUUUUUUAUUUGCAUAUGAAAAAGAAAUACUUAACUAGAUUGAUUCUUAUUCGUAUAUAAAAAGUUAAAAUAGUGAAAUUCAAGAAAAAUAUAUGAAUUUUAUAUUUGGCUUUAGAUGGCUAAUUAUAUUAAGCCGCCCUUGAAGGGACGGUGAAUUGUAAUAUUUUUUGUGGUUGACUAUGAGGCGAGCUAUAAUAUGAAAUCAAAUAAGUAACAUAGUAUAAUUAUGUGCUAAGUAAUGUGUCAUAUGAUAUUUUUCAAUUGAUUUGAAUUCAGUGUGAAUUAUAGUUAGUCCUUCCUUUUGGAUUUUUGUUAAACUGAAAUUUUCAUUUUUAUUACAUAGAGAGAGAAGUUAUAAAAAGGAUGAUUACAACGUGUUGUAACUUUUCAGGACGAAGAACAACAAGUCAUUGUUUUAUUAAAGAGGGAUUGUCCCUUGUCCAUAUCAGCUUUCAAGAAAAUAACAGAACAAAUGUUGAAUCUACUACUAUGAGAAAUUCAUCAUUUGUUUUGUUGGAGUUAGCCAAUGUCUGCUUUCUCCUUCCUAAUCCUAAAAUUAGCCAAACCAACUUUAUCCAACCUAUAAGUCCUUUAUAUUCAUCAUUAAGCUCUUGAAAUUGUUGUUGAGUACAAUGUUGAGGGUGUACUUAAUUUCUAAUCAUACAAUAGCGGUCUUUUUCACUCUUUGUAGUUGAUAUAUUGCCUCACCAAACACUAUUUUCCUCUCUUCGCUCUUUUUAAAUACACAAUAAAUGAAUUAGGAAGUUACAAUGCUUGUUAAGAAUAGCAUAGAGCUUUGGAGAAUGUUUGGACAGGAUGUACAGUUUCUUUUCCUAGAAGGCAUAUAUAGUCUUUGUGUGCUUGAUGUCUUGAAAAAGGAUAGAGAAAGACAAUCCAUACUACAUGAAAAAUAUUGAAUUGAGACAUAAUAUUUAUCAAUGGACAAGUCUGGCAUAGAGUUUAAACGGAUUUGUGAUAGAAUUAACUAAUUUAUAGUGUUGAUUUUAAUUUUUUCAAAAAUAAAUCAUAAAAUAGAUUGCCUAGCUUGACGUGUUAUGUGAUAUUAUGCAUAGAUUAAGUCCAUUGGAGGUUGUCUGAUUAGAGAAUCGGACAAUGCUUAGCAUGGGAAUUUCAUUGAAUAUGGAGCUAAGUGAGACUUUAAUCUCUCAUUUACUUGCUUUUUCAAAAGCAUUAUUUAAAACUGAGAAAUCGCUUCAAACUACUCCUCCACCCCAUUUUAGUUGGGCACAUUCUAUUUUAUACGGUGAUUAAGAAUCAUAAAUUGAAUGAUAAAUUUUACGAUCUUACCCUUUACUCAUAUUAAUGUUAUUCGUUGGGCAUAAGAAUGAACAUUGAAAUUGAAAUUGUUAACAUUUAAUAUAUACUAAAAAUUGUAGGGGAAAAAUAAAAAAAUAAUUAAUUUUAUCCUAAUUUAGUAAGUGGUCUUUUUUGGUGGGCUGAAACGCAUUAAAAAGAAAUAGCGGAGUAUUACAGUAGCACCUGGAUUAACCAGGAUCUACAAAAUUUGAGUUUGAGCUUAUGCCCUCUAAUGAAACAUUACAACACCUUGUUUGCCUAAUGAAACUAGUUCCUAGGAUGUCAGCCCAGGUAGCUUUGCAGCAUACAUUGGAGGAAUUACAAAAGAGUUUCUCUGUCCACAAACUUUCAGUCUUGCUCCUUCCUUAGCUAAUGCAUCCUUCACCAUAUUCUGCUCUUUAUAGCAGUGCUGGAUUUGUGGUCGUCCCAGACUCCUGAUUAGCAACCUGCAUCCAUUAAUUAUGGCAUUAUAGUGGAGGUUUCCCUCUUUGAGCAUAAUAAUAACCUUUUUCGAGUCUACAUUGAUGUCCACGGGAACUAAGGACAUUUCCUCCAUAAUUUUUAGUCCCUUUAGUUGAGCAAAGAGCUCCAUCUGGUUAUUAGUAAUCACAGGGAAAACUUUUUUGAAACCUGUAGUCCAAUUCCCUUCAUUGUCUCUAAUAACCCCUCCAAUACCACCCCUACCAGGAUUUCCCAAACAUGAGCCAUCAGUGUUAAGUUUAAAUCUUUCUUUAGAGGUUGGUUCCCACUUAACACUAAUGUUCAAUAAUCUAUUUGUCACGACCUGAAUCAAGGUCUGGCCGUGAUGGGCAUCCCUAGCCAACCAAGGUCGGAGAUGACCCCUAACCUUACCUCAAGAGCACAUCAGUAAAAACAAACAACAAAAUCCAACCAAGAUAAAAAGAGAAACAUAUGAUUCCAAAAGAAAGUUAAGAGUCAAAACCAACUCCAUAAUAAUAUCCCGACACUGCCUACAAAAGUCUCUAAUCCAAAAAUACCAACUAAGUCAAGACAUGUCCCCGACUAUAACAAAAGAAAUUCAAAAGUUCUGAAAUGAUAAAUGUAACUAAGAAAGAGGCCAAGUCUUUUGAUAGUUCAUAAGUUGGUUGAACUUGUGUUGAACUUAUUGUGGAUUAAAUACAAAUUUUGUACCCAGAAUAACAAUCUUAAGGAAUUUAUUAAUAAUUUUAAUUUUUGAGUUUCUAGAGAUUAAAACUUUUUGCUUUCUACGCUGUUUGAACUUUAUAGUGAUUUGAAGUUAUAAAAACUUCAUCACGGGUUAAUGUUCAUUCAGUUGAUGAUUAGAAGAACAUAAAAGCUUCAACAUUAAACUAGAAAUAAGUUGUUUAAAGUUUUUAAAACUUUAUUCUUAGUAUUUUGACUUACUAAAUUGGUUGUCUUUUUGUCACAGUAAAAAUGAUUAUUGAAAAUCAAGUUAAUGAUGGAAUGGUCAAUGUCACAACAACAAAUAUUGCUACUUAAAAUCGUUCAAAUGCUGCUCCGCCAAGGCACUGACAGAAAAAUCAGAAAGUUUUCUAGUGUGGAUUUUAAAAGAUGGCAGCAGAAGUUGUUCUUUUAUCUGACUACAUUAAAUCUACAAAGGUUCAUCACUGAAAGCAUUUCAGAGUUUUCGAAAGAAAUAUCCAAAAAUAUACUUUAUUACUACAAAAGCUUGAAAGCACUUGAAUUUUUUAUAUAAGAACUACAUACUGAGUGGCUACAACAUGGCAUGUACAAUGUGUACAGCAAUAUGAAGACCUCUAAGGAACUAUGGGUAGCUUUGGAAAAGAAGUACAACAUAGAGAAUGCAUGAAUGAAGAAAUUUAUUAUUGCAAGAUUUGUAGAUUUUAGGUGGUAGACAGUAAUACUGUAGUUACCCAAGUUCAAGAACCGCAAGUCAUCAUUCAUGAUCUCCUCACCAAAGGUAUAAAUUUGUUCUUGAUACUUACAUAGUCUCUGAUGUAGGCUUAAUUGUGAACGAGGCUUAUCAAGUAGCUGCUAUAAUCGAGAAGUUACCACAUUUGUGGAAAGACUUCAAAAACUACUUAAAGCACAAGCACAAGGAGAUGUCUUUCGAAGACCUUAUUGUGAGGUUAAGAAUCGAAGAGGACAAUAAAGCAUCAGAAAAGAGGUCUCGAUGGAAUUUACAAUAAGUAGAGAAAAUAUUGUGGAAGACGACCCCCAAUAAAUUAAAGAGAGAAAGGAAGCGUCAGGACAAUAAGGCAAUCCUCCUAAGAAGAAAUUCAAAGAAAAUUAUUUUAACUGUGACAAAGUUGGCCACAAGUCUUCAGAUUGUCAGGCUCCUAAGAAGGACAAGAAAAGAGGAUCAAGCUAACAUGGUUGAAUCCAAGAUGAUGUGGAGAUCUAUGUGCUAUGCUUUUGGAGUGCAUGUUGGUUGAAAAUCCUAGAGAGUAGUGGAUUAAUUCAGGUGCCACUAGCCACAAUGUGCCAACAAAAAAUUAUUUCCAUUAUAUUUUCUGGCUCAGGCUAAUGAGAACAUAUUCACGGUAACUCUGUUACGGUAAAGAUUGAAGGAAAAUGCAAGAUUUACUUGAAGAUGACAUUGGGCAAGGUGGUGACACUAAACAACGUCCUUUAUGUUUCAAAGUUGCGAAAGAACUUAGUUUCUACUUCACUUCUAACUAAAAAUAGAUUCAAAUAAGAAUUUGUUUCUGACAAAGCUGUAAUUAGUAAGCAAGAAGUGUAUGUAGGUAAAGGUUACUUCAUCGAGGAUUUUUUUAAGAUCAGUGUAAUAAAUGUUGAAAUCAAUAAAAAUUCUGUUUCUUCUUACUUACUUGAGUUAAAUGAAUUAUGGCAUGAACAUUUAGGACAUAUUAAUUACAAAACUUUGCAAAAACUGAUUAAUUUAAAAAUUUUGCCUAACUUUGAGUGUAAUAAAUCAAAUUGUCAAACAUGUGUGGAAUCUAAGUAUGCUAAGCAUCUAUAUAAGUCUGUUGAAAGGAAUUUCAAUCCCUUAGACUUAAUCCACACAAAUAUUUAUGCUAUGAAGUCAAUACCAUCUCAUGGUGAGAAAAAGUAUUUCAUAACUUUUAUUAAUGAUUGCGCUAGAUAUUGUUAUUUUUAUUUGCUAAAUGAUAAGAAUAAAGUAAUAGACGUAUUUUGGUAAUAUAAAACUAAAGUUGAAAACCAGUUGGAUAAAAAGAUCAAAAUAAUAAGAAGUAAUAGGAGUAGAGAGUAUGUAUCUUCUUUUGCAGGGGUAUGUUAGAAAAAAGGAAUUAUCCAUCAAACUAAUUUCCCGUAUUCACCUCAAUCAAAUGGGAUUGUGAAAAGAAAAAUUGAAUGUUAAAGAAAAUAAUAAUUGUCUUACUCAUAAGUUCAGAUAUACCGCAAAACUUGUGGGGGGAAGUUAUCCUUACAGCAAAUCGAAUACUCAAUAGAGUUCCCUAUAAGAAGACACACUCUAUCCUAUAUGAAAAUGAAAAGGAAGGAAACCCAACUUGAAAUAUUUCAAAGUGUGGGAUUGUCUAGCUAAAGUCCAAGUCUAUAUACCUAAAAGGAUAAAAAUAGGACCAAAGAUUGUGGAUUGUGUGUUCAUCGUAUAUGCUACAAGGAGUAAAGCAUUUCAAUAUUUGGUUCAUAAAUUCGAACCAUGAAAAUACGAUAAUCUGAAUCAGAUAAUAUUAAGUUCUUUGAAUACAUUUAUCCGUAUAAAAUUGGACAUGAGAUGUCUAGUGGAGGAUCUAAACAACCUCGAGAUGAACCAAAGGAGAAUGUACUUAAUAAUGAGAAUCAAGGUGUAGUACACGUCAAAUACCGUCAAUUUUCUUUGGAUAAGAUUUUGUAACAUUUCUUCUUGAAAAUGAGCCUUAAAAAUUGAAAGAAACGAUGUCGUCUUCAGACCCAUCCUUUUGGAAAGAGGCAAUCAAUGGUGAUAUAGAUUCAAUCUUGAGCAACCAUACUUAGGAAUUGAUUGAUCUUUCUCCGGUAAAUAAACCUUUAGGUUCUAAAUGGAUCUUCAAAAGGAAAAUAAAAGCUAGUGGUACUUUUGACAAUUAUAAGACAAGACUUGUUGUGAAAGAUUUUAGACAAAAAGAAGGCCUUUAUUAUUUCGAUACAUACUCGCCAAUAACAAGGAUAACGUUCAUUCAGAUGUUGGUUGCGUUGACGACAGUAUAUGAUGUUGAAAUUCAUCAAAUGGAUGUGAAUACAACGUUCUUAAAUAGAGAAUUGAAGGGAGAAAUUUACAUAAAACAACCUAAGGGUUUUGUAGUUUCUGGUAAAGAAAAGAAAUUGUGCAAACUUGUUAAAACACUUUAUGGAUUAAAACAAGCACCCAAAUAGUGGUAUAUAAAAUUUGACCAAACCAUGUUGGCAAACGAUUUCAGGAUAAACGAAUGUGAUAAAUGUGUUUACAUUAAAGACACUCCAAAUCACAAAGUCAUUAUUUGUUUGUAUGUGGAUGACAUGUUGACCAUCAGUAGAGACAUUCUAACAUAAAUGCUAUGAAAUAAAUGCCUGAGGGCAAGUUUGAUUUGAAAGACCUUAGAGUUGCUGACGUAAUCUUAGGGAUAAGAAUUUUUAGAACUCCAUAGGUAUUGGCGUUGUCACAGUCGCAUUACAUUGAAAAGGUGUUUGACAAGUUCAAGCAUUUAGAUUUCAAUAUUGUUGAGACUACAUUAGACAUGAGUUUUGCAUUUCAAAAGAAUGAAGGUGAAAGUAACUCACAGUUGGACUAUGCAAGAGUGUUGAAAAGUUUGGUGUAUAUAUCAUAAAUUGUACGUGAGAAGACAUAGAAUGCACUAUUAGUAAAUUAAGUCGGUAAAAGACUACUCCUAAUCAAACUCAUUGGAUGGAUAUGAAAAAAGUUUUAGGGUAUCUAAAACAUACCCAAGACUAUGUUUUUAUUAUAACAAAUAUCCAGCGUAGAUGAGGUGACUUUUCAAAAUAAUGUAAUUUUUCGUGAACCAUUACUUUCUUUCUGAAGCACCACAUUGUGGCUAUAAAUGCCUGAAUUUUUCCUCUGAUAAAGGUAUGAAGAUUUGAAGGGAAAAACAUUUUCUUUUUCUUCUUAAAACUCUGGUAUGAUCUUCAAACUAUUGAGUGAGUUCGUUGUUCAGAAAAUUUGAGGUACCACUAUUUUUUGAAGAGAAUCAUUUUUCGUAGGGAGGAUAUAUUCCUUUAACCUCGAGUACUUGACUAGAAUAAUUUUUUUAAGGAUACAUCGUGAAUUCAGUGGAUUUGACUCAAUCGUUUCUGUCUUCAUCCCAUUUUCUUAAAGUUGGUUUUAUUAUUUUUCCAGAAAAAUAGUUUGAACAUUAUAUUGAUAGUUCUUCAUUUGUUUGAACUUGUGUUUGAAGUUUUUGAAACUUCAUUUUGAUAGGUUAUAAGUUGUUGAACUUGUGUUGAAGUUAUUGUGGAUUAAAUACAGAUUUUGUACAAAAAAUAAUACGAAAUAGCUGUGAAACCUUGGGGAGCGACCAACUAAAAGAAUUUGCACCGAAGUCGAUCCGAAAUCACUUUCAAAGUAAUGGCUUACCACGACACAAUAUUUUCAGUUCCAUAUUAAUAUUAGAGUAAUUUUUCCAACAAGUGGCAAAGUUUGUUAUUUAACUACAAAAUUUGUUCGUCAACAAAUCCUUGUUUUUCUUUUGUUGGGUAGUAUAUUUUGGUUUUAUCUAAUCAAUCUAUUGACAAGCUAAGCGCCUACGAAAACGAUGUAGAUGUUCUACCUACGGGGGCGGGGGGGUGUCUAUUACAAUUACAAAAAUAAACUGAAUGUUGAGUUUCAGUUCCACUAACACCUUGCAAAAGUGAAUUACCCAUGAAAGAUGGGGGUAUUAUAUCAAAAAAAAAAAACAUAUCUUUUGUUGUUUUCUAAUUUCUAACGAUAUAUUUUUGAUCCAUUGCUUUCCCAUAGUAUGCUAACUUGACAGCCACUUUUUUUUGCUUUUCUAUAUACGUGGAACACUUUUUUUUUCGUCAAAAUGCGAAUCAUAAUUUAAUCCGUCAAUUUUUACUAAAUUGUAAUUGUCUUUUUUUUUUUAUAAACAGAGAUAGCAGGUAACCCAAGAAAAAAAAAUGUCUAGCAGAACAUAUUACGCAUCCUCGAAACUACUAUGACCUAUAAAACUAGAUGAUAAAAAAAUUGGUUUUAUCAUACUGGCACACUUGUAGAUGUUCCAUAAUUCAUGUAAAUUUACUUCAGAUGAAUUGUAGUUUUUGUGUUCAAAUUCAUAUAAAAACGAAAUGAUUUAAGUUUCGUUCUUUGAAUAUCGCCAUACAGAAAUAAAAUAGAACAAGGGGAGUACUUUUCUAGGUCUCUAUUUGAUAUUUUAUCAGUAACAAUUUGAAAAUAGUCAUAACUCAUACACGUAGUAGUAGGUGGAAAUGUUUCUGAUUGAAUUCGGCAUAAAAAUAUUUUUAUGGAAAAAAAGUUUCUUCUAGUUUUGGUUUAUAAGUGGAUCAAUUUUUGUGGAAAAAAAGUUUCUGCUAGUUUUGGUUUCUAAGUGGAUCAUUCCCUAGCGCUCUACUAAAUGAUUUAAUUUUAUAUAAAGAAGAUGAAAUUAUAAGAAAAAAGAGAAAAAAGAAAAAGACUAGAGAUCUAAAGAAGGGAAAACUUAAAGUAUGUGGUAAUAACUUCUUUUAUUCAUCACAUAAUCUCUGCAUUUUGCAAGGAGAUUGAAACUGAGCAAACAUACACAAAGACAUAAAAGUAAAAAUACAAAUAUAAAUAGAGUACAAACAAUAUCACUAAUAACUUAGAGAACAUGAAGCUACAAAAGAACUUCGCCUCCCGUGGGGCUUAUUGUUUACUCUUUUUUCUUCUUUUUGGCAUUGCCUCUCGAAAUGGAAAAUGCCUUUCCUUGAGCUCAACAUUCUGCUUUUCCUGCAUAAGAAUAUAAUAUUGUCAAUGAGAACAUAUAGUAACUGAUUAAUAAACCUAAUAAGUAGGAGAUAGCAUAGGCUUAUAUAUUAAUGCGUUUGCAUGAAGAAAUUGUGCAACUUGUAUUGAUUUGCAUUUAGACAAAUCAUUUUUAAGAAUUUUAGUUUGGCUUAAUUACCUUAGAUUUGAUGUUGUUGUUUCUUAGUGAUGGUAGGGAGGAGGUGGAGACUUGUAAACCGGAGUUGGUGGUGGUGGAGACUUGUAUACUGGUGCAGGAUGGUGUGGUGUUGGUGAAGGAUGGUAUGGAUUCACUGGUGGUGGUGACUUGUAAACGGGUGUUGGUGGUGGUGGAGAUUUGUAUACUGGUGCAGGGUGGUAUGACUUCACUGGUGGUGGUGGUGACUGGUAAACGGGUGUUGGUGGUGGUGGAGACUUAUAAACUGGUGCAGGAUGAUAUGGCUUCACUGGUGAUGGUGGUGACUUGUAAACGGGUGUUGGUGGUGGUGGAGACUUAUAAAUUGGUGUGGGAUGAUAUGGUGUUGGUGGAGGAUAGUAUGGCCUCUUAGGUGGUGGUGGUGACUUGUAAACUGGAGUUGGUGGUGGUGGCGACUUGUACACUGGAGUGUGUGGCGGGUAGUAUGGCUUUUUGGGUGGUGGUGGGGACUUGUAAACUGGAGUUGGGGGUGGUGGAGACUUGUAAACUGGGGUGUGUGGAGGGUAGUGUGGUGGUGACUUGUAAACUGGAGUCGGGGGUGGUGGAGACUUGUAAACUGGGGUGUGUGGAGGAUAAUGUGGCUUCUUUGGUGGUGGUGGGGACUUGUAAACUGGAGUGUGUGGAGGAUAGUGUGGCUUCUUCGGUGGUGGUGGUGACUUGUAAACAGGAGUUGGUGGUGGUGGCGACUUGUGAACUGGUGCGGGAUGAUAAGGUGUUGGUGAAGGGUGGUAUGGCUUCUUAGGUGGUGGUGGAGAUUUGUAAACAGGAUGAUGAUGGUGUGGUGGAGGGGACUUAUAUACUGGGUGGUGAUGGUUUGGUGGAGGAGACUUAUAUACUGGGUGGUGGGGUGGAGAUGGAUAGACAUGCACUGGUGGAGGAGGAGAUGAAUAAUGAUAAUUUGCAGAGCUUUCAGAAGCUAAGCUAAGUGACACUAAAACCACCAAAAGAGUGGCAACUAGAGAGGCCAUUUUCCCCAUAUU
rnacentral:lncRNA from 1 species